GAUGAACGCUGGCGGCGUGCCUAAUACAUGCAAGUCGAGCGAACGGACGAGAAGCUUGCUUCCCUGAUGUUAGCGGCGGACGGGUGAGUAACACGUGGAUAACCUACCUAUAAGACUGGGAUAACUUCGGGAAACCGGAGCUAAUACCGGAUAAUAUUUUGAACCGCAAGGUUCAAAAGUGAAAGACGGUCUUGCUGUCACUUAUAGAUGGAUCCGCGCUGCAUUAGCUAGUUGGUAAGGUAACGGCUUACCAAGGCAACGAUGCAUAGCCGACCUGAGAGGGUGAUCGGCCACACUGGAACUGAGACACGGUCCAGACUCCUACGGGAGGCAGCAGUAGGGAAUCUUCCGCAAUGGGCGAAAGCCUGACGGAGCAACGCCGCGUGAGUGAUGAAGGUCUUCGGAUCGUAAAACUCUGUUAUUAGGGAAGAACAUAUGUGUAAGUAACUGUGCACAUCUUGACGGUACCUAAUCAGAAAGCCACGGCUAACUACGUG
rnacentral:rRNA from 1 species